rnacentral:pre_miRNA from 14 species
GCCCUGGGGAGAGGGGGCACUGUGAGUCUGUGUGUGUGUGUGUGUGUGCACGCGUGCAUGCACGCAUAUGCACGUGGACACACACUCAC